rnacentral:lncRNA from 1 species
AUUGCAAAGAUAUCAGGACAAACUCGUUUGACCAUCUCCUUCUGCAUUGUUCAAAUUCCAUAGCCCUAAAUGUUAUUCUAUCUUCUCAAGGAAGUUCAGGCUCCAUUGUGCUUCUUUUGAUCUUCAGAAGUGGGACCUUUUCAACUUCAUCCAGGUACAGAGACAGUGAUAAUGCUGGUAUAGAUGUGCUGCAGAAUUUAUGCCCUGGGGGCAGUACAGAGGAGAAUUUAUCCAUCAGCUUCCAUCCUGCAAUACUCUACCAGUUGUAGCAAGGGGUCAGCUGCCUCUUACUUUUGGGUGCCAUCAUGUCAGAGAAGCUCUGGAGCACAAAGCAACAGACAUGGAGUGUAGCCAAGCCACGUGCUGUCUGGUUAUACUUGCAUACAGCUGUUUGCUAUAUGAAUUGCUGGGUGGCACAUAGGCCUGGAGGAUGAGGCAGGACCCAACAAAAUAUAGUAAAUAAUUUAAUGGCUCUCAGUGAGUCAAUUUGUGGUCAUUAGGGUAUCUUUAGAUAAUAGUGUUUUCAUUCCGAUAGACCAGAAUUUCAUGCUCUUUGGUUGGGAUGGAUCAGUGCCUGGGUUUCCUACCCACAUGGUAGGGCAAAAGGAAGGCAGUCAAGUUCAUCACAGGUUGUCACUAAAGCUCUGGAUAGCAGAGGCAGGUGCUAAUUGGGGUGGGAGGAGCUAAGAGGAACUGGAGAAGAGUGAGAAAUGAGAGUGGUCCUCCUUAACAGAUACAAAUACAGAAUUAGGUUGGGUUGUAAUCCUGACUGUGUCAAACAGGGUGAGAGUGGAAUGAUCACAUGGCAAAUCAAACAUCUCAAUGCCACUUUUAUCAUAGUUUUGUAUUCUAGUACAGAGGCCUGCAGGCUCAUCGGAGCCAAGGACCGAUGUGCCAGUUGUUCUUUUAGGAAACUUACAAAUAGUAUUCUCUACUCCUUGAAUUUUGAUCUAUUGUGACAAAAAGGAUCUAAAUUAGGCAAAAGAACAAAAUAUCACCCCUAGUAUAACAAUCUUUUAUUAAAGACUGUCUACAUAAUCUCUACAACUGUGUGAGUAGGUGAACUGACCCCAGAAUCAGGCAUUUACCUACCUAGUCACAAGCUGGGCUGGAAAAACAGUUAUCCCCUGUGGACUAAACUACUUUCACUCUUACAGUGAGCAGAGCAGAUUGUUUGUUAUAGAUGGGCAGGUGGUUCUGGGAGAGAGGUAAGAGGAAGAUGUUGUUUUGUUAUACAAAUCCAGUUGAUUAUUACAAACUCAUCAGUCUUCAGUAGAGAGAUGAGCUGGAUUAACUUGACAGCAUACCUCCUUCUCCCUAAGUAGAUAUGCCAUGAGGGGCUAGAAUGAGGGGGAUAGAAGCAGUCUGCAGGAAAAGUCCUGCUUUUACCAAGUAGUGCCCUGUGCAGCUCAACCUGCACAACUGCCCUGUGGUCUAUUCUUCAUGGGUAAGUUGGAGCUGGACUCUUGACCUUCCUGCUGUAUCUGUUGCAGUAGAUUUUGACUCUGGUGUUGAGAAUGAUAAAGCAUGAUGAGGAAAUUCACAUAUAUAAAGAAAUUAUUUUAUACCUGUUUGUUUACUGAAUGUAGAAAUAGAGCUUCAAAGAUGUUAAGACACCUACUCUCUUUCAGUGAUUUUAGGAAGCAUUUUCUUUCACAUGUUAACAUCUCUGAAAUUGUGACACGGCUUACUACUGAUGGGGAACAUGGAAUAUUUGGCUGAUCUCCCCACUUUCUUACUAGUAAAUAACAUAAUGAGGUUGUUUUCUAAUACACAUUAUCUCAUAUUCAAUAAGUAGCUAAUACAUAACAAAAGUAGAAUUUGUUACUUGGGUUGUAUGAUUCCAAACUUCAGGUGAUUUUCUGGUCAAGGAUAAUUUUCACCUGAAACAUACAAGCAAUUAAGGCAACACAUGUUUCAUGCUCUUUGAAAACUAUUUCCUUCUUUCCCCAUAUCAUUUCAUGUAUUAUCAAGCAGUUUGGGAUUUUGUGUCUUGCUUGAGCACAUCUGCACAGGAUUAUGCUCCUUGGGAGCCAAAUUCCUUCUUUCCCUGUGAGCUGAGGCCACUUAAUGAGUUCUGUGGAGUGGGCUGAUGAAAUAUGUUUAUCACAAGUUGGAAUGAGUGGUGAUUGAAUUCCAGCAGCUGGGUUUUAUUAGAAAAAGUACAAACUGGGGCCAUUCACAUUUCUUUAUGUAAACUCAGUACUGAAGUGGAUGUGAGGGGAAAAGUCUUGGGAACUUUUUUUAUUGCUCAAGACUAGGUCUUGUUGCAAUUGAGAAAUGUGGGAAAUAACUGAAGUAAUAUUUUGUUUAAUAGUUGUUUUCUCAAGAAAUAUUUUAUUUAAGUCUUUUGUAUUCAAUAAACCUUAAGUGUCUACUUUGUGUAAAGUGUGAACUAGAGGCUGCAGAGAAUAAGAAUGAUACCUGCCAUGGAGAGUUUUACGUGAAAUAUAAAGGGAGCCACUGAGUUCACUAUGACAAGUCAUAGCACAGCUAGUUAGGUGACAGGGUUUGAGGAAGGAAGAAAUACCAUACAUAUAUGCUCUUCAGGUAUUGCUUCUUAGAAACAAUAGCAGAGUUUGGAAGUUUUGGAAAAAAAAUUUCUCUACUUGUAGAGAUGGGAUUGAUAAUUCUGGGUUUCAAUAGUGGCAUGCUACAUUAUUUUGAAUUGCAUUUCCACAGAAAACAACUAAAAAUGGUACAUGUACUAUUUUUCAAUAAUCUCCUAAAAGCUAAAUAGCUGAAAAAUAAAGUACUAUUGAACAAAAUUUGAAUAAAAUCAGAAAUUCAGCUUUCAAAAUGGCAGAUGAAAGACCUACUUGUGCCUCAGGACAUUUGCUCACUCCUCCAAGUUUGACUGUAAUUUUCAUCACUUAUGCAUAAUGGCCAGUCUAAUAGAAAAUUGCAUUUGAUGAGUCCAUAACCUAGGAAGCUGCUUAGACAGGAUAAAGAAGAACCAGGUGUACAACUGCCUUCAACCAUAUUUCUUACAAGAUGAAAAGUCUAGGUGAUAGUAAACCUGAAACUCAAGAUUUGACAUACUCUUGUCCUGGUAGUUGUCUGAAGCACAAAUUAACUUGAAGAGAGGCGGUAAACAGCAUAAGAGCAUCUAUUCUCAUCAAUUUCAAUGUUUUAUUUGUGGCCAUUAAGAGUUAGACCACAGCCCUGCAGAAACUGAGAAUUUGUACAGAUCUGUGUAUGUAGGAUUGUGUAUAUUUUGUUGGCACUGUAAAGUAAGAAUCUAUUCAUACCAUUACCUCUUUCUUUCUUUCUUUCUUUCUUUCUUUCUUUCUGGUGCCAACUCAAAUAAUUUCUGCCUUCAAAGUAUACUAUUCAUGGAUCAGUAUCUUUUGAGAACUUAUAAUAAAUCAACUUUUCUCAGAUGACGUAGUGGACUUUCCUUAAUUAUCUGGACAACUGUAAGGUGUCACAUAUUGGGUGCACUUACUGUGCCCUUAGUUAUGUGAAAUGCAAGUAUAAAAUCAAAAGCAUAAGUAUUUUUCCUUUCUGAAUCAUCUUGAAAUGUCUAACCACUAAAUGGUUAUGCCUAACCUGUGACCUCUUCUUAUCUUUAUCUACAAUCAAGAGUUAGCCAACUAGUUCCAUGAUUUUCCUAAUCAAUCCUCACCCCUCCAUGAAAUUUCAGAACUAUAAAAAUACUCUGUAUCUGUUCAAGUAUGUACUGUUACCCUUUGGGAGACCACAAGCCUUUGUAAUGUCUAGGAUUAUUCUACUUUCCAGAAACCAAUUGUUGUUUCUCUCUGUAGGGGCUAUGUCAUCCUGAUAGAGGAUGCAUGUCUUAAUGUAAAUCUAGGUUGUGUUCUUAGUUCUCAUUAGAAAAAUCUAUAAGCUGUAACAGAAAGAAAAAAAAAUAGAUGAUUAAAAAGAGUUGCGCAAAUAUCAUCUAAGAUAACCUGGGAAAACACAAACCCUACCAUAAGUGAUAUGAAGGGAUUUUGUUGUUCUGAGAUUUGGAUAGAGCAGUGUAAUAUUAUUUAUGUAUUCAUUUCAAAGAUAUUUGAAAAGUGUACCAGGCACUGAUUUGGAUUGAGGAUGGAAUCAGUAGCAUCAGAUACUGACAUCUUUCCUGAACAGAAUUCAAGCGAAACUCCAAAAUUUUUCACUUGACCCAUUAGUAGGAUAGAAUUUCCAUCAGCUGUAAUGCAAAGAAUUAAAGGUAGAUCAGACUGUUGGGGGACGACAAAGUAUUCAUUUUUAGAUAUUUUUACUUUCAGAUGCAUAUUAUAUAUUCAAGUAGAGAAGUUAAUAGGAAGUUAUAUAUACAAGUCUGGAAUUCAGGAGAGAGUCCAAGGGUGGAGUUAUAAGUCUGGGAGUCAUAGCCACAUAGAUGACAUUUAAGGUUAUGACCCUGUAUGAAAUCACAGAUUUGAUUGUCUGUUGUCUUUCCCUACUCUGAAAUCUCUCUUCCUUUUCAUUCUGCAGCUUCUAUGUUUUCCAGGGUCAGAACAGAGUUAGAGUGAUACAGACAAAGAUGGCAAUUUUUUUUUAUUUAGUUGAUAAUAUCCAUAGUUCUUUCUUGGCUAACACUGGCUGAUCAUGCAUUAUUUUAUUACAAGCUAUUAAUGUGAGCUUUUUGUGGACAUAUUUGUUAGUUCUUCAAAUACUCCUACACAAAAUACUCUGAAUUAUUCCAUUCUCUGAUGGGGAUAGGAUGGAUGCAGUACCAUACUUCUCUCAAAUUUUGCCCUGUCAGUUUCUGCUCAUUCUUCUGGCUGGUAAGAAAGAUCUAACAAGAGACCCCUGUGUGAUAUCCCAUGAAGAUGACUUAUGUCAUUAUAUUUUAUAACUAUGUAAAAAUGUAUAUACAUGGAAAAAAACUGCAAAAUACUCUAAAAUGAUGGCACUAAUUAUGUGAAUAUUGGAUAAUUACUUUCUCAUCUAUUUUCCAAUAU